UAGAGUUUGAUCAUGGCUCAGAUUGAACGCUGGCGGCAGGCCUAACACAUGCAAGUCGAGCGGUAACAGAAAGAAAGCUUGCUUUCUUUGCUGACGAGCGGCGGACGGGUGAGUAAUGCCUGGGAAUAUACCCUGAUGUGGGGGAUAACUAUUGAAACGAUAGCUAAUACCGCAUAAUCUCUUCGGAGCAAAGAGGGGGACCUUCGGGCCUCUCGCGUCAGGAUUAGCCCAGGUGGGAUUAGCUAGUUGGUGGGGUAAUGGCUCGCCAAGGCAACGAUCCCUAGCUGGUCUGAGAGGAUGAUCAGCCACACUGGAACUGAGACACGGUCCAGACUCCUACGGGAGGCAGCAGUGGGGAAUAUUGCACAAUGGGGGAAACCCUGAUGCAGCCAUGCCGCGUGUAUGAAGAAGGCCUUCGGGUUGUAAAGUACUUUCAGUUGUGAGGAAGGCGUUGAAGUUAAUAGCUUCAGCGUUUGACGUUAGCAACAGAAGAAGCACCGGCUAACUCCGUGCCAGCAGCCGCGGUAAUACGGAGGGCGCGAGCGUUAAUCGGAAUUACUGGGCGUAAAGCGCAUGCAGGCGGUCUGUUAAGCAAGAUGUGAAAGCCCGGGGCUCAACCUCGGAACAGCAUUUUGAACUGGCAGACUAGAGUCCUGUAGAGGGGGGUAGAAUUUCA
rnacentral:rRNA from 1 species